AACAUUGUAGGGCUCGGUGUCGA
rnacentral:siRNA from 1 species